rnacentral:rRNA from 1 species
UACGUAGGGUGCAAGCGUUAAUCGGAAUUACUGGGCGUAAAGCGUGCGCAGGCGGUUUUUGUAAGUUUGUCGUGAAAGCCCCGGGCUCAACCUGGGAACUGCAUUGGAUACUGGCGAUCUGGAGUGCGGUAGAGGGUGGCGGAAUUCCCGGUGUAGCAGUGAAAUGCGCAGAUAUCAGGAGGAACACCGGUGGCGAAGGCGGGUCUCUGGGCAGUAACUGACGCUGAGGAGCGAAAGCGUGGGGAGCAAACAGG